rnacentral:rRNA from 1 species
AGAGCGAACGCUGGCGGCAGGCCUAACACAUGCAAGUCGAACGGAUCCUUCGGGAUUAGUGGCGGACGGGUGAGUAACACGUGGGAACGUGCCUUUUGGUUCGGAACAACUCAGGGAAACUUGAGCUAAUACCGGAUGUGCCCUUCGGGGGAAAGAUUUAUCGCCAUUAGAGCGGCCCGCGUCUGAUUAGCUAGUUGGUGGGGUAAAGGCCUACCAAGGCUACGAUCAGUAGCUGGUCUGAGAGGAUGAUCAGCCACAUUGGGACUGAGACACGGCCCAAACUCCUACGGGAGGCAGCAGUGGGGAAUCUUGCGCAAUGGGCGAAAGCCUGACGCAGCCAUGCCGCGUGAAUGAUGAAGGUCUUAGGAUUGUAAAAUUCUUUCACCGGGGACGAUAAUGACGGUACCGGAGAAGAAGCCCCGGCUAACUUCGUGCCAGCAGCCGC